CCAAAAAAUAUUUGGCGAAUGGAAGAAAAACAACAGUAGAACUCAGGGCUAUGUUUAAUAGUCAAAAUAAGACCGUUUCCACAUGAACAGUGUGGAAGAAACUCACAGGACUGGGACUGAACAGCUGUGUAGCCAUAAGAAAACCACGUAUCCAUCAGGCCAA